rnacentral:tRNA from 1 species
GCGGAUGCUGGCCGGGUUGGGCCGGCCCCGCGACGGCCGCUGCGCCGUCGGGCAGACGGUGCGGGCGGCGUUCCUGUCCCAGGAGCUGCAC